UUUUGCUAGACAAGUUCUCUGGCGGGUAGCUGCACACAACCACAGGAGGAGGUGGUGUUGUGGAAGAAUACGGCCUGGGCAAAGCCAUACUCUUGCAUCUCUUUCAACUGGUAUGACAUGGACAUUUGUAUGAUGGUGGACAUGCACCUUAACGGAAGUGACUUAUUGAGCCUCGCUGCCACCUGCCGUUGGUUUCUCCGGCUCCUCAUGAGGAGCCAUUUAUUUUCUUGUGAUAAUAUAGUUGAUCUACAAGCAGCAAGCAAAAUUGUUGUUAGAAAACUUAUCUAAAGGCCAACAUGAAUCAU